AAAACUUUCAACAAGGGGUCUCUUGGUUGCGGCAUCGGUGAAGAACGCAGCGAAAUGCGAUACGUAAUGUGAAUUGCAAAUUCAGGGAAUCAUCGAGUGUUUGAACGCACAUUGCGCCCCCUGGUAUUCCGGGGGGCAUGCCUGUCCGAGCGUCAUUU
rnacentral:rRNA from 1 species